rnacentral:rRNA from 1 species
GACGAACGCUGGCGGCGUGCUUAACACAUGCAAGUCGAACGGAAAGGCCCUGCUUUUGUGGGGUGCUCGAGUGGCGAACGGGUGAGUAACACGUGAGUAACCUGCCCUUGACUUUGGGAUAACUUCAGGAAACUGGGGCUAAUACCGGAUAGGAGCUCCUGCUGCAUGGUGGGGGUCGGAAAGUUUCGGCGGUUGGGGAUGGACUCGCGGCUUAUCAGCUUGUUGGUGGGGUAGUGGCUUACCAAGGCUUUGACGGGUAGCCGGCCUGAGAGGGUGACCGGACACAUUGGGACUGAGUUACGGCCCAGAGUCCUACGGGAGGCAGUAGUGGUGAGUAUUGCACAAUGAGCGGGAGCCUGGUGGAGGAGUCGCGCGUGCGGGAUGACGGCUUUCUGGUGGUAACCCGCGUUAGCCUGUGACGAAGCGUGAGUGACGGUAAUGGGUAGAGAAUCACCGGCUAACUGCGUG